CAUCAUUGGGAUUUGCAGAAGACCAACACCAUUGUCUUUCUGCUAUGUGUUGCUCUCAGCAUAAGCCUGGUUGUUAUAGCCUUCCUCAUUUAUACCAUCAAAGAAAAAAACAAAACCUCGGCUGCUUUUUCUGUAAAAACAAAUACAGAAACAACUAGUGAAGAACAGCAAAUUCAGCAAAGACUUGAGGACUCAUUGGCUUAUGCGGCACCAACUUUUGCCAAGAGAAACACUUGCAGCGCAGAGAGAAGGGAUGAAAGAGCAACAGAUGCAAUUUGUAUUUACUCUGACGUCAGAGCUUUUGAGUGUGGAAAAAGUGAUGCUUAAGCAAAGCUUGUGUUGGGUCUGUGUUUCCACAAACCCCGCUAAUUCUAGAGACUUAUUCAUCAUGAAGAAAACAAGACAGUCGAUCGAUCCAUUACUUGCGCAAGGGAGGCCUCUCAUCUAUGUCCAGCACACGACAAUGACCCCGAUGAUGGCCUCCUCUCGCUGCCUUUUAUUGACAAACUUCAAACAAUAGUUUACAAAACAC